UGUCGGAAUAUCACAAACUACAAACGCGGUAUGAGGAUGCUGUGCCCAAAGAAACACUGAUUGAAUUUGUGAACACGUACUUCUCAGAUCCUGGAGAUGAGUUCAUACAAUGGGCGCCUACGGAUAUACCUCGUAUACCAUCAUUCUUAGACAACGUCACAGAUCCCUUACUUUAUGACUUUGGAUGGGAUCUAUGUAAUAUUUGGAAAGAUCUCGGGCGAAAGAUAAAGCCCGAUUUGUUGAACAAGAGUGAUAGAUACUCUUUACUCUACUUGCCGAACCCCUUCAUAGUACCCGGUGG